AAAAGUUUUAACAUAGGUGGCCAUUGGAACCACAAAAAUCACUUGAAGUGAGUUGAAUUUACAAAUUAGAAGUAUUUACAAAAUGAAGUCAAAGUUGACUUAAGGUUCAUUUGAAAUAAGUAUUAAUGAAAAGGGUUUGAAAAAUCAAAGGCAUAUGGCCUAGGUUUCUAAUUUGAAAACAAUGUCAAUGUUUGCACAAAAUGAGUUUG
rnacentral:lncRNA from 1 species